rnacentral:rRNA from 1 species
UACAGAGGGGGCAAGCGUUAUUCGGAAUUAUUGGGCGUAAAGGGCGCGUAGGCGGCCUGGCAAGUGGAAGGUGAAAUCCCUCGGCUUAACCGAGGAACUGCCCUCCAAACUGCUUGGCUUGAGUCCGGGAGAGGUGAGUGGAAUUCCCAGUGUAGCGGUGAAAUGCGUAGAUAUUGGAAGGAACACCAGUGGCGAAGGCGGCUCACUGGACCGGAACUGACGCUGAUGCGCGAAAGCGUGGGGAGCAAACGGG